rnacentral:rRNA from 1 species
CCCUUAGAUGUUCUGGGCCGCACACGCGCUACACUGAAGGAGGCAGCGUGUACUCCUGGAUCGAAAGAUUUGGGUAACCCGCGAAUCUCCUUCGUGCUAGGGAUUGAGGUUUGCAAUUAUCCUUCAUGAACGAGGAAUUCCCAGUAAGUGCAAGUCAUAAGCUUGCGCUGACUACGUCCCUGCCCUUUGUACACACCGCCCGUCGCUACUACCGAUUGAAUGAUUUAGUGAGGACUUCGGACUGGGACCGAUGCGGCUUUCGGGCUGCGUCGGUAUUCUGGAAAGAUGUCCAAACUGUAUCAUUUAGAGGAAGGAGAANUCGUANCA